rnacentral:rRNA from 1 species
GUGGGGAAUAUUGCACAAUGGGCGCAAGCCUGAUGCAGCAACGCCGCGUGAGGGACGACGGCCUUCGGGUUGUAAACCUCUUUUAGCAGGGAAGAAGCGAAAGUGACGGUACCUGCAGAAAAAGCACCGGCUAACUACGUGCCAGCAGCCGCGGUAAUACGUAGGGUGCAAGCGUUGUCCGGAAUUAUUGGGCGUAAAGAGCUCGUAGGCUGUUUGUCGCGUCUGCUGUUAAAACCCGAGGCUCAACCUCGGGCCUGCAGUGGGUACGGGCAGACUAGAGUGCGGUAGGGGAGAUUGGAAUUCCUGGUGUAGCGGUGGAAUGCGCAGAUAUCAGGAGGAACACCGAUGGCGAAGGCAGAUCUCUGGGCCGUAACUGACGCUGAGGAGCGAAAGCGUGGGGAGCGAACAGGAUUAGAUACCCUUGUAGUCC